GUUUGUUUUAUCUAUAAGUUGUUUGAUAUUAUUAAACACAUAAAAGGUGCAGUGCACUCUUCAUAAUAUUCUGUAAUGCAAAAUAAUUAUUUUUCAAGGGAAUGUGUUGGCCAUGCAUUAAUGUUUAACGAAGGACAGUUACAGCAAAACAUUUGUCGAUUGUGUGCGCUGCUAUAUGGUGACGUGUCCUCAUUUUUGACUGUGUCAAAGUGCCAUUCAGCAAAGUCUAUUGGUUUUCAAAUCACCUGUACUGGUAACAUGAACUUUAAUUUGGAUUGUGAGUCUGUGACUGAUGUAAACUGUUAAAAUGAUUCUUCAAUUGAAUCAAAAUAUGUAUAUAUAGAC